CGGCGGACGGGUGAGUAAUGCCUAGGAAUCUGCCUGGUAGUGGGGGAUAACGUCCGGAAACGGGCGCUAAUACCGCAUACGUCCUGAGGGAGAAAGUGGGGGGAUCUUCGGACCUCACGCUAUCAGAUGAGCCUAGGUCGGAUUAGCUAGUUGGUGGGGUAAAGGCCUACCAAGGCGACGAUCCGUAACUGGUCUGAGAGGAUGAUCAGUCACACUGGAACUGAGACACGGUCCAG
rnacentral:rRNA from 1 species